rnacentral:rRNA from 1 species
GACGAACGCUGGCGGCGUGCCUAAUACAUGCAAGUUGAGCGCUGAAGGUUGGUACUUGUACCAACUGGAUGAGCAGCGAACGGGUGAGUAACGCGUGGGGAAUCUGCCUUUGAGCGGGGGACAACAUUUGGAAACGAAUGCUAAUACCGCAUAAAAACUUUAAACACAAGUUUUAAGUUUGAAAGAUGCAAUUGCAUCACUCAAAGAUGAUCCCGCGUUGUAUUAGCUAGUUGGUGAGGUAAAGGCUCACCAAGGCGAUGAUACAUAGCCGACCUGAGAGGGUGAUCGGCCACAUUGGGACUGAGAAACGGCCCAAACUCCUACGGGAGGCAGCAGUAGGGAAUCUUCGGCAAUGGACGAAAGUCUGACCGAGCAACGCCGCGGGAGUGAAGAAGGGUGUCGGAUCGUAAAACUCUGUUGGUAGAGAAGAACGUUGGUGAGAGUGGAAAGCUCAUCAAGUGACGGUAACUACACAGAAAGGGACGGCUAACUACGUG